AUUGAACGCUGGCGGCAGGCCUAACACAUGCAAGUCGAGCGGAUGAAGGGAGCUUGCUCCUGGAUUCAGCGGCGGACGGGUGAGUAAUGCCUAGGAAUCUGCCUGGUAGUGGGGGAUAACGUCCGGAAACGGGCGCUAAUACCGCAUACGUCCUGAGGGAGAAAGUGGGGGAUCUUCGGACCUCACGCUAUCAGAUGAGCCUAGGUCGGAUUAGCUAGUUGGUGGGGUAAAGGCCUACCAAGGCGACGAUCCGUAACUGGUCUGAGAGGAUGAUCAGUCACACUGGAACUGAGACACGGUCCAGACUCCUACGGGAGGCAGCAGUGGGGAAUAUUGGACAGAGGGCGAAAACCUGAUCCAGCCAUGCCGCGUGUGUGAAGAAGGUCUUCGGAUUGUAAAGCACUUUAAGUUGGGAGGAAGGGCAGUAAGUUAAUACCUUGCUGUUUUGACGUUACCAACAGAAUAAGCACCGGCUAACUUCGUG
rnacentral:rRNA from 1 species